rnacentral:rRNA from 1 species
AGCACCACAACGGGUGGAGCUUGCGGUUUAAUUGGAUUCAACGCCGGAAAUCUUACCGGGACCGACAGCAAUAUGAAGGCCAGGCUGAAGACUUUGCCGGAUUAGCUGAGAGGUGGUGCAUGGCCGUCGUCAGUUCGUACUGUGAAGCAUCCUGUUAAGUCAGGCAACGAGCGAGACCCACGCCCACAGUUGCCAGCGUACUCUCUGGAGUGACGGGUACACUGUGGGGACCGCCGCUGCUAAAGCGGAGGAAGGAAUGGGCAACGGUAGGUCAGUAUGCCCCGAAUAUCCCGGGCUACACGCGAGCUACAAUGGUUGGUACAAUGGGUAUCUACCCCGAAAGGGGACGGGAAUCUCCUAAAACCAAUCUUAGUUCGGAUUGAGGGCUGCAACUCGCCCUCAUGAAGCUGGAAUCCGUAGUAAUCGCGUUUCAACAGAACGCGGUGAAUACGUCCCUGCUCCUU